GUACCUGGAUUGGGAAGAAAAGACCAUAAUUCAAGGGACUAACUCAGUGUGGAGAAAGGCUCUUACACUCUAGAUUUAGCCCUCACAGGUUGACACCAGUGACCCGAUGAAAAGUUCUGUUCGUGAGAGGACCUAGAAGCAAUGACCCUCUGUAGCAAUGAAAUCUAGCGUCCAAAUCUUGGUUUCCAAAUGUCAUUUUCCAACAAAAAAAUAGGGCUUCCAGCGUUGAGGCAGGAGCAAGAUGGGCCUGGACUAUCUCGUGGUGCCACAAGAAAAAUCAGGAAAACUUCAGUCAUGAAGAAACAGCAAACCCAAAUUGAGAGACAUUCUAUAAACACCUGACCAGCACUCUUCAGAAAUCUCAAAGUCCUGGAAGCCCAAGAAACUUGGGGAUUGGAGACAAAGAAGAUGUGACAGGACAGUUAAGUACAGGGCCGUGGGAGUAGCUUCUUGGGGUUCACGUCGGCCUGCUGGGCAUGGGCGAGAGGAGAGCGGCCGCCUGAACUGGAGGAGCCCCGUCAGCACUGGCCAGCUCUGCCACCUCAGUAAGGUGCUGGCCGUAGAGGCCAUGACAGCAGUACUACCGUGAGGUUUUCACAGCAUGGGAAACAGGUUUGGACACCACACGCGGCUGGCCCAAGCUCACUGCGUGGAGCUACUAUGUGAAAGAAAUCAGGAUCUGCGAAACCAAGGCUCAGCCGCCUCUUCUGUCCCGGCAGUGUUCUCUCCACCUGCUCAGGUCCCCCGUGGCUGUCAGCCUGGACCAUGUGUACCAGUGGCUUGCAUCCUCAGUGCUCAGCGCUGGACCCGGGACGGCUCGAGUGCUGGGUGGAUGUUGGUGAAGUCGGUGGGUGAAGGCUGGGUGAUGAGCAAACUCAGUGGGAAAGCAAUCAGUUGAAUCUAGUAAAAUCUCAAGCUCUGAUGGAAGAGCCCAGGUCCAAGAGAAAAGACCCCUUGUAUUCUUCACUGGUCAAACCGUAGCUGGAGUAUGGAACCACGUUGAAGAGAGACUUGACAAACUAGGGAAUAUUCAGAAAAGGGUGGCUCCCUCAGCUCUAAGUAGUAGGUAGCCGUUCUAGAAAUUUAAAAAGAAAAGUCAUAACGUCACCAGGGAAACCCACUGAUUCACAUCCGUGAUGCUGCGCUGGUUGCACACCUCCCCUGCAACAAAUUGUGUGGAAAUUUGCAAGUGGGUGGGGAUGGGCAGGUUCAAAGAGGGAGUAGCAGAAAUGAAUAGAGUUUCCAUUAUCAAAAGUGAAACAAACACUGGAUUCACUUAUACGCUUGGUCUCAUUCUUACAUGCAUAGACCCAAGACUUAAUUUCCAUCAGCACACCAAAAUGUGAUCCAUUUGCCAAGACCUGCUGCUCUGAGCAUGGUCCGUGACCCAACAACAUCAGCACCACCUGGGACCCUGUCAGGCAGGCAGGGUCUCAGGCCCUCCCCAGAAUCGGUAUUUUUAUCUUAACAGAUCCCCAGGUGAUUUGUAUUCAUAUUAAAGUUCAGGAAACACUACCACAGACUGGUGUAUAAGCCAAGUGCCAAUCUGCAGGAAGAAAUAGAACUAUCGUGCAAACUCUUAAUACAGUCAGCCUGCACAGAUCAUCCCCUCUGUCUAGGCAGGUCAGGAGGUGUCUGAUGACCCGCACCUCCUCCCCCAGCACCCGCCCCCGUCACCAGGAAGUGGUGUCUCAGCUGAAAUCCUGAGGUUGAGUAAGCACUAACCAGGCGACAGGGUGGGUGAGAAGAGAGAGGGGAGGUGAGUGAUUUUUCUAAGAAGAAGCAACUUUGUGCAAAGGCCCUCAAGGAAGCAACAUUGUGACUGACCUUACAGAGGAACUGAAAGAUGGCUGGAAAGGCCGGUCAUAAGGCUGAGGGGCUGGGCCCGGACCACGGACCACGGGGCUGGUUUAGAUUUGUCUCUGUGUGUUUUAAUAAACUUUUUUUAAAGACUGAAUUUA